GUUCUGGUAGCCUAAAACCCUAAGGCAUUGGUCUUGUAAACCAAAGAUUGGAGGUGAAAUCCCUCCCCAAAAC
rnacentral:tRNA from 2 species